rnacentral:lncRNA from 1 species
CCUGUGGUUGGAUGGAGAUGUUCAGCUGCCCCAAUCACCCACCUCCCCGAUGGUCCUGGUUCUGAAGCCACGCACGCUCCACUGGCAUGGCGGCCUCACAACCCUUGCACUGUGCCGCCGUGGCUGGAGGAUCUAGCAGCUGUGAACAGUGAUCUGGAGGCAAAAACAGCUAACCACUCCUGCAUGUGGACCUUUACCCCGACGCCGCCAGAUGAUCCAGGGGUUUGGCCCAGAACCAGGUGCAAACCACCAAAUCCUUUCCAGAGCAUUUUAGCUGGAAUUUGAUCUUCUGUUAUUGCGUCUCAUUUUAGCGCUGACUGACCAUUGCAUCUGCAUUUACCAGUGACUGUGGUUUACCUGCGCGUGGAUUUUUGUUAUUUAAAACACAAAGAUGUAUUCUUAUGUACACGAGAACUUCAAAUAAAACACAGGGAAAAGUGUAAGAUAUGAGUAUAUAGUUUGUAAUGAUCAUUGCUUUGCUGAACGUAUUUCAAUAUCUUGUUCAGUAACUGGUAUAUUGAUUGUUAAUGUCAUCAUGAUUUAGUAGAGAAGCAGUCUUGUGGCAGCUUCAACAAUUCAAGGGCCCCUUUGUCCAUUCAUCAGCACCCCUGAUUGGGCCCAUGUCAUGGUUAGCUGCAGGCCCGGCAGAUAAAGAUCAGGGGAUGAUUGGGCACA